rnacentral:pre_miRNA from 1 species
AAGGGAGCAUCUGUCGACAGUUUGAAUUUAAAUACUGUCAUGGAGUUGCUCUCUUUA